CUCACAAUCCUAAGUCAAAUAAAAAUUUAGGUUAGAGAAUACCUGACAAUAAUCAAACCGUUGGAUGUGGAGAACCAUAUGCAAAAAACACGUCUGCAAAAUUUCAGGCCAAUCGGAAUUGAAUCAUCAUUCUGAUCGAAGUCAAAAGAUUGUAGCCAAAAGAAUUUCUAUUUUUUUUUCUCUCGGGCGGCGGUGCUACAUGCAUGUGCAAGUGAUCGAGAGAGAGAGCGAAAGAGAGGGCGCUCUCUCAAAACCCUCACAUGGCCUAUUAAUGGUUGGGCCCCACAUGGGCAAAACCCAACAAAUCUCUCUCUUUUGAUCGAUGUAGGGGCUUCACUAAACCUGUCAUCUAUCUGCACACC
rnacentral:lncRNA from 1 species